GACGAACGCUGGCGGCGUGCUUAACACAUGCAAGUCGAACGAUGAAGCCUAGCUUGCUAGGGGGAUUCGUGGCGCACGGGUGAGUAAUACGUGAGUAUCCUCCCUUUAACACUGGGAUAAGCCCGGGAGACUCGGUCUCAUACAGCAUACGACCACUCCCCGCAUGUGGUGUGGGUGGGAAGCGUUAUGUGGUGGUGAUAGAUGGGCUCACGGCCUAUCAGCUUGUUGGUGAGGUAACGGCUCACCAAGGCGACGACGGGUAGCCGGCCUGAGAGGGUGACCGGCCACACUGGGACUGAGACACGGCCCAGACUCCUACGGGAGGCAGCAGUGGGGAAUAUUGCACAAUGGGCGCAAGCCUGAUGCAGCGACGCCGCGUGAGGGAUGACGGCCUUCGGGUUGUAAACCUCUGUUAGCAGGGAAGAAGAGAGAGUGACGGUAACGGCAGAGAAAGCGCCGGCUAACUACGUG
rnacentral:rRNA from 1 species